CCUACGGGAGGCAGCAGUAAGGAAUAUUGGUCAAUGGGCGAAAGCCUGAACCAGCCAUCCAGCGUGCAGGAAGAGGGCCCUAUGGGUUGUAAACUGCUUUUAUCAGGGAAGAAACCUCUGGAUUCACUCCGGAGCUGACGGUACCUGAAGAAUAAGCACCGGCUAACUCCGUGCCAGCAGCCGCGGUAAU
rnacentral:rRNA from 1 species